rnacentral:rRNA from 1 species
UACGUAGGGUGCAAGCGUUGUCCGGAAUUUUUGGGCGUAAAGAGCUCGUAGGCGGUUUGUUGCGUCGGCUGUGAAAUCCCGAGGCUCAACCUCGGGUCUGCAGUCGAUACGAGCAAACUAGAGUGUUGCAGGGGAGACUGGAAUUCCUGGUGUAGCGGUGAAAUGCGCAGAUAUCAGGAGGAACACCGGUGGCGAAGGCGGGUCUCUGGGCAACAACUGACGCUGAGGAGCGAAAGCGUGGGGAGCGAACAGG